AAAAAUCUUCUAGGAGCAGCUAACAAGAAUCCUAAUACAGGAGUGUUUAUGGUUGGGUUGAGACACAUUCAGUAGCUGAGUGAUUGACAGCAAGAGGAGCAAGACAUGAGGUUAAUAAUUAUCAAAUAUAUGGCAAUGCUGGACUUUAGCUGAUCAUCGUGCUUCUGGAAAACAACAAAAAUUGAGAUAUCUGUUCACCACUUUGUGUGUCCAAGGACCACCUACUUUUUACAUGUGACAAGAACUACCCACCUCCACUCUUCAGGAUAGAACAUGCUGAAGAAAAGAGUUGCAAUGAGAAAAUAUAUGGGAACAAAAUACCUAUGCAAUGCAGAAGUCUGCAUAACUGAACCACUCAGAGGAAAAAGAUUGCCAUUUCAGGACACCUCCUACAUCUGAGGAAAUAUGCAUUGAUCUUGCAGUACUUUUCUCCUCCAAAUAAAAGUCUAAGCCAAAGGACACUUCAGUUAUCCAAUCUUGCAACAAAUACAUUUAAGCACUUAAUAUGGGCUACUGUUGGUACUAGGGGCAUUGAGAACUUCAGAUUUGAUUAACACCCAAGAGCUGCUACCAUAAAAUAAACUAGGCAGCUACUAGGCAAUAAGAUGAGGCACAUGUGUAAAACUUCUGCUUUUAGCUUGGUGAAG
rnacentral:lncRNA from 1 species